AUGGCUCGUGGCGAUCGUCAAAACGAUGAUGAUGAUUUCAUGGGUCCACCACAGCGUAAUCGGGCAACUGGGCGGAGAAAAGAGGGUGAUGAGAAGAAGAAACAUAUUCACAACAGAGCCUCCCAAGAACGACUGACUGCGUUGACUGAAAAAUUCAGCGACGAUCAGAAGGAGGCUGCUGCUGAGAUGGGUAUGCAGUCUAUGAUGGCUGUCCGGUGCACGAACCUUGUCAACCGUGUAUGCGAUUGGCUUGGUGAGAUCUACGACCCCGCCUCCAGAGAAUUCGUGAUUCCAGGACGCGGAAGACUACCGCUGAAUGAGGAAUCCGUGUUCUGCAUGUUGGGUGUGCCCCAUGGACAUAUCAAAGUCCCGUACGAGGCCAUGAUGACGCAAGAAGAUGUUUUCAAGAUGAAGCUACUCAUGUACCUCAUCUCAGCCAUUUUCGCGCCGACCACUUCUCUUCGCCCAAGCAACAAAUGCUUCCCCAUCCUGGCGAAACUGAAAGAUGUGAAGAACAUGAACUGGUGUAAGUUCAUUGCCGACUUCCUGCAUGAUGCAUUUGCAAGCAAGGUAUACCAGAAGGGUUGUUGA
rnacentral:rRNA from 1 species